UAAUACAGAGGGUGCAAACGUUGUUCGGAAUUACUGGGCAUAAAGCGCGCGUAGGCGGCCGCGUAAGUGUGGAGUGAAAUCCCACGGCUCAACCGUGGAAUUGCUUGGCAUACUGCGUGGCUAGAGGACGGUAGGGGAGAGCGGAACUCCUGGUGGAGCGGUGAAAUGCGUAGAUAUCAGGAGGAACACCGGUGGCGAAGGCGGCUCUCUGGUCCGUUACUGACGCUGAGGCGCGAAAGCCAGGGUAGCGAACGGGAUUAGAUACCCCGGUAGUCCUGGCCGUAAACGAUGGGCACUAACUAAAGGCCCUUUCCUGAGGGUCUUUGGUGAAGCAAAUGUGUUAAGUGCCCCGCCUGGGGAGUAUGGUCGCAAGGCUA
rnacentral:rRNA from 1 species